AAACAUAAAAGGUCGUGCCUUCCCCGGUGGGCAUGUGGGCCUAAACGGACGCGGUAAAUCGUGCUAAGGUAGCUAAAUUAUGGCCCAUUAAUUGUGGGUCCUGUGAAUGGUUUGACGAGUCCUCGACUGUCUCAAGGUUGUUUUGGUGAACUUGAAUUGAAUGUGCAAAUGCUUUCAUGGGUAAGAAAGACGAGAAGACCCCGUGAAGUUAGAAAUUCUUGUCAUAGCGUAAGUUCUUAGUUGGAGGUGGGCUACAACUCAAAGUAUGGGUUUGUUGCCUUAGUUGGGGAGUGUGGUUUUGUGUUUUGGCUGGGGCAGCAAAGAGGCAAGCCUAGACCUCUUUCGAUUUUAAACGGGUGCGUUACGACCCAUUAGUUUGAAAGAUAUGAUUAGCAGAAGUAGUUACUCCGGGGAUAACAGCGUUAUCCGCCCCGAUAGCUCUUAUAGACGGGCGGGUUUGCGACCUCGAUGUUGGCUCUGGUUAUCCUGAGGCUUGUAGGAGGUCUUAAGGGUUGGUUCG
rnacentral:rRNA from 1 species